rnacentral:rRNA from 1 species
UACAGAGGUCCCGAGCGUUGUUCGGAUUCAUUGGGCGUAAAGGGUGCGUAGGCGGCUUUCUAAGUCUGAUGUGAAAUCCUGGGGCUCAACCCUGGAACUGCAUUGGAUACUGGGAGGCUAGAGUACUGGAGAGGAAACUGGAAUUUACGGUGUAGCAGUGAAAUGCGUAGAGAUCGUAAGGAAGACCAGUGGCGAAGGCGAGUUUCUGGACAGUUACUGACGCUGAGGCACGAAGGCCAGGGGAGCAAACAGG